rnacentral:rRNA from 1 species
GACGAACCGUGCGACCGUUGUUCGGAAUCACUGGGCUUAAAGGGCGCGUAGGCGGCCGGGUUGGUCGUGGGUGAAAUCCCCCAGCUUAACUGGGGAACUGCCUACGAUACUGCCUGGCUCGAGGGAGGAAGGGGCGGUCGGAACUGUCGGUGGAGCGGUGAAAUGCGUUGAUAUCGACAGGAACGCCGGUGGCGAAAGCGGACCGCUGGCCCUCUUCUGACGCUGAUGCGCGAAAGCCAGGGGAGCGAACGGG